rnacentral:rRNA from 1 species
UACGUAGGGUGCAAGCGUUGUCCGGAAUUAUUGGGCGUAAAGAGCUCGUAGGCGGUCUGUCGCGUCGGCUGUGAAAACCCGGAGCUCAACUCCGGGCCUGCAGUCGAUACGGGCAAACUGGAGUGUUGCAGGGGAGACUGGAAUUCCUGGUGUAGCGGUGAAAUGCGCAGAUAUCAGGAGGAACACCGGUGGCGAAGGCGGGUCUCUGGGCAACAACUGACGCUGAGGAGCGAAAGCGUGGGGAGCGAACGG